rnacentral:rRNA from 1 species
GUAAAAGUCGUAACAAGGUUUCCGUAGGUGAACCUGCGGAAGGAUCAUUAUCGAGUUUUGACUGGGUUGUAGCUGGCCUUCCGAGGCAUGUGCACGCCCUGCUCAUCCACUCUACACCUGUGCACUUACUGUGGGCUUCAGAUCGUAAAACGGGUCCCUUUACCGGGCUUGCGGAGCGUGUCUGUGCCUGCGUUUAUCACAAACUCUAUAAAGUAUCAGAAUGUGUAUUGCGAUGUAACGCAUCUAUAUACAACUUUCAGCAACGGAUCUCUUGGCUCUCGCAUCGAUGAAGAACGCAGCGAAAUGCGAUAAGUAAUGUGAAUUGCAGAAUUCAGUGAAUCAUCGAAUCUUUGAACGCACCUUGCGCUCCUUGGUAUUCCGAGGAGCAUGCCUGUUUGAGUGUCAUGAAAUCUUCAACCUGCAAGCUUUUGUGGUUUGUAGGCUUGGACUUGGAGGCUUGUCGGCCGUUGUUGGUCGGCUCCUCUUAAAUGCAUUAGCUUGGUUCCUUGCGGAUCGGCUCUCAGUGUGAUAAUGUCUACGCUGCGACCGUGAAGCGUUUGGCGAGCUUCUAACCGUCUCAGUUGGAGACAACUUUAUGACCUCUGACCUCAAAUCAGGUAGGACUACCCGCUGAACUUA